rnacentral:rRNA from 1 species
CCGACGGUGAGUAACACGUAUCCAACCUGCCGUCUACUCUUGGACAGCCUUCUGAAAGGAAGAUUAAUACAAGAUGGCAUCAUGAGUCCGCAUGUUCACAUGAUUAAAGGUAUUCCGGUAGACGAUGGGGAUGCGUUCCAUUAGAUAGUAGGCGGGGUAACGGCCCACCUAGUCUUCGAUGGAUAGGGGUUCUGAGAGGAAGGUCCCCCACAUUGGAACUGAGACACGGUCCAA